CCUACCUCCAGACCUCCCCAACUCCUCGCCUCCCCACCUCCCUGCCUCUUGGCGUCAGCGAAGGCUCUGCUGCCUGCAGGGCAGAGAGGAGAGGGAGGAGGCCAGCGAGAGGGAGCCUCUGUCGGGGCGUGGGAGGAAAGCAAGAUAACGCAGGCGACCCGAGAAGGACGUCUUGUCUGUCACCGAGGCUGGAGUGCAGUGUGGCAGGAUCAUAGCUUACUCCAUCCUUGAACUCCUGGGAUCAAGGAAUCCUCUAGCCUCAGCUUCCUGAGUAGGUGGGACUACAGAUGCAUACCACCAUGCCCCGUGAAGGAAGUGAGUUGUUCUUUCCUCUUUUAUAGGAAUGGGAUGGGAAAGAGGAAGGGCUAUGAGUACGCUUCGCAUGUUUGUUAUUGUGUUGUUCCGUUCUUCACACACAUGUCCAUCAGGCUCCCUGUCAACCUUCCAUUCCCCCAGGGUAGGCAUAUUUAUGGGUACCAUGUGCCCAGUGAGCUGGCCCACCCCCCACCACCACGUGGUGCCAGACUUGAAUGACCUUAUGAGAAGGAACUUGUGCUCUGCACAUAUAUUGGUUUAUCUGCAUUCGUGAUGUGUUUUUAUUUUGCUUUUCUCCCAUUUAUCUUCCUAGCAAACUUUCUUUGGUAAAGAAUGAAUAAAGGAAGCUUAUCCACAGCUGAGCUCACGGUUAGGGGAAACAGCACACAGGAGGAUGCUUUGGUAGUGACCAGCAUUCCAGCUAAAGAAUGGAGGUUGGGGGAUGAAACAAGGGCACACAAAAACUCAAACUCUUUUUUCUGAAUUUUCUUUGUUUGCCUAGUUGAUUUGCUGUCCAAGAAUUGGGUGCUUGGACAGCAAAUUAGAGACGAAUACGAUAAGUGAAACAGCCUGCAG
rnacentral:lncRNA from 10 species